UUAUUGUUGAGGCUUGCUGAUUGUGCCUUUCGUGCAUGAAGGCAGAAGGGGGUUGGACUAGAUGACCCAAAGAAAGAAUCUCUUCCAUUUCCAUUAAUAUUAAUCUUAUUGGGGCUGGAUGGCCAUCUGUCGUUUUGAUUGCUUUCUCGACAUGAAGGCAGAAUGAAGGGGUUGGACUAGAUGGCCUUUAGAGGUCCCUUCCAACUCUAGGAUUCUGCUAAAGGAGUCUUAGUCAAACAGGAGCCAACAGUGUGAUGCUGCAUCUGAAAAGGCCAAUGCCGUUCUAGGCUGCGUCAGUAGGAGAAGCCUGCGAGAAGACGAAAGGGAACUGGUGUGACACUACUUUGGCUGGUUUUUAAAUUGCUUUUAAUAAUUAUUUAAUGCAACUGCUUAUUUUAAUUUACUGUACAAUGUUUAGUAUUGUCUUUUGUUUAAAAUUUUUAUGUUGUUUUGUUUCUAUAGGCAUUCCAUGUUUGCCUGUUGCCAUGGGGAGAUAGGUCGGGGUACAAAUAACAGGUAUGACUUACCUGUUGUUUUAAGAACAAUACUCCUUACAAAGCCUCAAGGGCAGCAGCCAUCUUGGCUAUGAUAAUAACUUUAGAAGAGAACGGUAAUUGCAUGCUCUUUAUUGAAGUAUUUGGAAAACGUUCCUCAGAAGUAGGUGCCAUUUUAUGAGAUGUUCCUCGAAGCGCCAUCAACAACAACGGAAGAAAGCAACUAACGUCUUGGGAGUCCAUGGAUCCGCCAAGCCCAACUGUAAGUGUUUGGGGAAGAAGGUGAGUACUCUAUGCUUUAGUCGCCCAUUGUUACCUUUCGUAGCAGUGCUCUGAUGUUACCCUGUGUCUAAAUGAAUCCAAGCAGGCUUCAUAGAGAUGUGCGCAGUAUUUGUUUCAUAUGUUUCAUUCCUCUUUUGUUUUGUACUGGCCAUUCGGAUUGCAGGAUACAAAAGGUGACACAGCUGCAUGGUCACCGUGCGUUUGCUUUCAUUUUCAGACUGCGUGGCAUCCACUCCAGGAGACGUCACCUGCCUAUGUCAGAGGAGGUGAUCAUUGGCCAAUUGGAGGGAAUGCUUUGAUUGUGUGAGCCUGAGGUAAAAGGAUGUGGUACCACCCCUCGUGGCGCCAGUGUCGAGGAGGAAUGACCUCCUUUAUUGACCUUUCAUCAGCACAGUGGGUGACCAAGCCUCCGAAGCUGAACACAGUAGUGGCUGAUAUGACUCGGAGCAAGUGCUCGGCUAAGACACAGGGUACACCGUCUAAUAAAGAGGGGGAAAAGAUAGAUGUCCAUGUGGGGUCUAUUUGGCCUUGUACCAGGAAUACUUGUGGAGGAAGAUGGGGGCUAAUGUCUAUCUUCCCUCAAGAGCUCCAAGUCUUCGCGAGGCCCUGGGGCUCUCGAGAGCGCAGAAGGACAUGGCCAAGCACACCGCAGACACAGCAGGGGCAACGUUUGCUAUUUCUGCGGCUGUUGGGUGCCAUGCUUGGUUGCGGGCACCCACACUCUUGGAGGAGGGCAGGGCACUGGUGUAGAACAUGCCUGUUUCACGUUAUUUUCUGGUCUCAAAGAAGGGUGGAAGCCAGUGGCCCAUUCUAGACCUUAAGAGGCCUUAAUCAUUUUAUUUGGGUGCCUAUCUUUAGGAUGGUUACUUUGUCGGCUAUUUUGCUGCUACUCCUGGAGCGCGUGUGGUUUGCUACCAUCGACCUCAGGGAUGCCUAUUUACAUGUCGCCAUCACCCCGCGGCAUCACAGGUUUCUUUUAUGAUCAGAGAUCAAGGUUUUUGUUUUCGGUUGCUUCUGUUCGGCAUCUUGACAGCGCCCGGGGUAUUUACAAAGUGUAUGGCUGUGGUUGUGGCCUACCUUCAUACCCAGGGCUUGUUGGUCUUUACGUACAUUGAUGAUUGGCUCCUGGUGUCGCAAUCCCGCCUUCUCCUGCUUCAUGACAUUCAUUUCACUCUCUUAACUCUUUCAGGACCUGGGGCUGAUGGUGAAGUGUACCAAGUCCAACCUCCAGCCCACCAGUCUCCUCUGAGUGCUUCUGGAUUCCACUGCAGGGAGGGCGUACCUUUCCGAUGACCUCUAUGCGACACUGCGGGCAGCACUGGUUCAUGUGAGGCACCAUCCUUGGGUCCAGGCCAGGCAGGUCCAGUCCCAGCUGGACUACAUGGCUUCGAUCACAGGAGUUACGCCCCUGCCAAGGCUAAGGAUGCGGCUGCUGCAGUCAUGGUUUCUGCAGGCCUUCGACCCACGGCGUGGCAGUCCUUCCAUCAUGCUCUCUCCCUGGUUGGUAUGGGAUGCACACAAGGAGCGCCACUUGGUACGGGGUCGUUGAGACUGGUACUCGGCUCUCACAAAGCCACUGUUCGAGCCAUUGUCAACAGCAGACUUGUCCCAUUGUGGAAACAGCCUUUCUUGUGGUGAUGACAAAGCAGAGAGCUAGCGAGCUUUGUGCCCUGUGGGUGGACAAUCUGUACAUGCACUUUCACAGUGAUAAGGUGGUGAUGUGUAUGGACAUCGUGUUCCUCCCAAAGGUGGCCUCCCUUUUUCAUGCUACUCAGGACAUUGUGCUCCCGGUGUUCUUCCAGAACCCGUCCACCCUGCUUGAACAAUCCUUGCAUAUGUUGGAUGUCCGGAGAGCACUGGCCUACGUAGACCAGAACAAGGAGUAUAGGAAGCCCCUGUGACUCUUCCUACAGUACCGCCCGGACACCAGGGGGCUCCUGGUGUCUCUGUAAAAGCUCUCUGCAUGGGUUGUCAUGGCUAUAAGGCUGGCUUACCAGAGUGCUGGGGAGGAGGGCCUACACAGGUGGUCGCUGCCUCCACGGCCUUCUGCUACAAUGUCCCCUUGGAGCUGUUACCUGGGCUACGCUGUUGACCUUUGUUACACAUUACAAGGUGUACCUUCUGUUAAACCACCAGGUGGCCUUUGGGAGAGCUGUCCUGUUUUCUAUGGUGUCAUGACGCCCACCGUCCAUGAUGGCCUGAAAUGGAAAGCCUCCCCCCACCCCUGGAAGAAGUUGUAAAGCCUAGCGAGGCCCGGUUGUGUAUGCCCAGGUGUUUUGGGCCAAAAGAAAACGGAUCUUUUAGCCCUGAAGACAAAAAGGAACAAAUGUCUAACCUCUCGAUUUCAGGUUAGAUGAAAACUGAACAGGGCCCCACUGAAAGCCAGGACAUGAAACAGGUCAAGGCAUUCAGGAUUUUGACAGGAUUCCAUCAUUUCCUUACUUGCUGUGUUUGGCAGCCUUGCCGGCUCUGGACCCCACCACAAACUUUCGUUUCAAUUGCGCUGCCUACAAGAUUGAUUAUUGAAAGCUAUGAUUUAUUGACAUUGAAGUUUCACACAACAUCUGAGAGUGCAGCAUUGUUCUAUUUUUAGUCAUUGCAUUGUAUUUUUCUGUGUAAAUAGCUUUAUGUUUUUAUGGUUAGAUAUAAUUUUAUAGUGUAACUCUUUUCUAAUUUUAGAUUUUAUUGAAUAAUUGGCUGUUUGAUGUUGAUUUGCUUUGAGACUGGGUGGGUUGUUAAUGUAUUCAUGUUUAUACUUGUGGUGAGCCAUUGAAUGUUUGCCUCUGUGUUUUUUGUUUGUUGGAAUCUGCCCUGAGUCUCCUUGGGGAAAUAGAGACAAAUACAAAUAAAGUAUUAUUAUUAUUUAUUAAGUACUCUU